CCCUUAGAUGUUCUGGCCGCACGCGCGCUACACUGAUGCAUUCAACGAGCCUAUCCUUGACCGACAGGUCCGGGUAAUCUUUGAAUCUGCAUCGUGACGGGGAUAGAUUAUUGCAAUUAUUAAUCUUCAACGAGGAAUGCCUAGUAGGCGCAAGUCAUCAGCUUGCGUCGAUUACGUCCCUGCCCUUUGUACACACCGCCCGUCGCUCCUACCGAUUGGGUGUGCUGGUGAAAUGUUCGGAUCGGCCGUUUGUCGCGGUUUCCGCGUCAUGUGGCUGAGAAGUUCAUUAAACCCUCCCACCUAGAGGAAGGAGAAGUCGUAACA
rnacentral:rRNA from 1 species